CCUACGGGAGACAGCAGUGAGGAAUAUUGGUCAAUGGACGAGAGUCUGAACCAGCCAAGUAGCGUGAAGGAUGACUGCCCUAUGGGUUGUAAACUUCUUUUAUAAAGGAAUAAAACGAGGCACGUGUGCCUUUUUGCAUGUACUUUAUGAAUAAGGAUCGGCUAACUCCGUGCCAGCAGCCGCGGUAAUACGGAGGAUCCGAGCGUUAUCCGGAUUUAUUGGGUUUAAAGGGAGCGUAGAUGGGUUGUUAAGUCAGUUGUGAAAGUUUGCGGCUCAACCGUAAAAUUGCAAUUGAUACUGGCAGUCUUGAGUACAGUUGAGGUAGGCGGAAUUCGUGGUGUAGCGGUGAAAUGCUUAGAUAUCACGAAGAACCCCGAUUGCGAAGGCAGCUUACUAAACUGUGACUGACAUUGAUGCUCGAAAGCGUGGGUAGCAAACAGGAUUAGAUACCCUGGUAGUC
rnacentral:rRNA from 1 species